GGGAGCUCAGAAAAUUCUGGAGCGGUGGGGAACACACCUUAACCAGGGUCUUUUCUGAGAGGGUGACACAGAAACCAGAGUCCUUUUUCCAGUUCAGCAGAAUGUCCCUCAACCAGCACACAGGACCAAUAAAGACACAUCUGGGCAGGGCGGUGGGUGGUAUUUUCUUUUUAAUCUCCAUAGUGUAUUUGUUAAGUUUAUUUAUAAGCAGAUCACUUCACUAUUUACAGUACAUGAGCAUAGAGAUUCUACAGUUUUUGUGAUGUAAACAAUCACUCCACAGUGGGAGCUUGAGAAAAGAAGCCAGUUCUGAAGUAUUUACAGACGUUAAAAUAGAACUUUAUGCUCACAGAAUAAUAAUACAUAGAGCAAUUUGGUUAAAUUAUCUAUGAAACUAUAGAAUCUGACAAUGUACAAAUACAGGAAAACAUUUUCUCAUUUAGAAGGUAAGACAGAUAAAUCACACCAGAAAUAAAAUAGGGACGAUGACAACCACAAUAAUUAAAAGCAAGGAAGAUUCCUUCCUGGCCUCUUACGGAUAAAGUUAUUUAUAUAAAUAAGGACACAACCCAACAAAAUGGAAAAAAAUAUAUAAAAAUCCUCUACCAAUUAAAAAAAAUAGCAAAACUAAAAACUCGAUUCCCAAUCAUUAGCAGUGUCCUUUAAAAAAUUAAAAUUUAGCUUUCUAUUAUAAAUAACAAAGCAGAUGUGUCCCUCUGUGUAGGUGAAAUUCUUGCACCUUUCUCAAGAAAUGCAUCAAUGUAAUUCCACACAUACACACAAACACAGACAGGCAUGCGAGCGCAUGCACACACGCACGCACGCACGCACACACAGCCUUGCACUCGUGUACCCCAGGCUGUAGUUACCUUGUUGAGCUUCCUAAUAAAUAAUGCCCCCUACGGGAGUACCCCUGGGGAUGUCCAAACCUCACAAGGUUAGCCAUUCCCUGGUUUGAACCCUGUCACAGAGCCAGGGAAAGCCCUGGCUUCCUAUUGCUCAGAAUUCUCUAGGCUGCUUAGUCACACCAAGAGAAAAAGAUUUGAGUCCAAGAUUUGGAAAUGCUGGAAGGAACCGUAGGGACCACUUUGCCCAGUCAAUUAAGGCUAGCUACAGAACCGUCUCUUUAGAAACCUGGGGCUGGGGACAGAGAUCUUGUGUUGGUUUCAACAUUAGCAGCUACCUCAGGAAGAAGCAGAUGCUCAAAGCCAAUGCUAAUACCGUGGCACAAGGAGGUGAAGGGGGUGGGUGUGAAUUUCUGGAGCAGAUUGCACCAAGCUGGACUUCUGGAUGGUUGUUUUUCCCCAGAAACCAUCUGGAAAUCCAAGUGGUCCACUUCCCUGUUCCGCUGACCACCCUGACCACACACCCCUUGAGAUUUCCAACCCGUUUCCAUCAGAAUCAGAACAUCCCUCAAGAAACAAAGUUGGGAAUAGGUUAUGACUUUUUAUUCCUAACACAAAACACACUUGACAAGAUUUUUAAAUACAAAAUAUAGAAACAAAAACAAACAAACAACAACAAAAAAGUAACCUGUUUGGCUAUUCGGUGGACCAUAUCAAAGGCCAUGGCCAGCCCCCAUUCAGAAACCUGACACCCGACCUCUCAGCUUGUCCCGAUGGUACAGUGCAGGUCACCUAGCAGAGGUUCACUUAACAAGGUCAGCAGCUGGGCUGCCGGUAUUGCAGUUACAGUAAACCCCUCUCGGGCACCUGGACACAGGGUCCACUUUUAUCUCCUCUGCCCACAGGAGAGCUUGUGUGCCUCUCAGUCUGCAUGAGUCUAAGUGGUUGCUUCUGUAGUCUUCUGACUGGUGUUACACUGGGCUCUAAACACAGACAAUUCGCUCAUGACAUUACAUUUCAUUCCUAAAGUGGGUGUUGGACAGCCAGGUGGCUGAAAGGAUUUAUUUGCCUUCCAUCUGGGUAGCUGGUGGAGACAGUCUUUGGCCACUAGAUGGCCACGAGACAUUGAUAAGGCAAGUGCUGAGGUGGAAGCGAACCAAUCCCUUCGAAAGUCACCCAGAGCAAGGCCAGCGAAGUGGAAAAGGAGGUUUUAUUAGGCUCCCUUGAAGGAUCCUGACAAAUGAUACAGCACAGAGGCAGACUACCUACAAAACUGUGUUUCCCAAGCCCCCAAUCCAGGCAGCCGGAUUUCUGCACUGCUUCUGGACGUGCAAGGCAUUCUGAUGAAAUGGAAUAUCUGAUCAUCUGUCCCCCCCAAAUCUUGAAGCUUCAGUUACUGCUGCUAUACCAUCAAAGACACAAAAAACAAAAGCUGCCCUAAAUAUAUGCAGUGUGAUUGAGGCCUCCUGUUGCCCCAUAUGCUUUACAAUCAUUUGAAAGACAUGUGGGAAAAGUGCCUAAGUUAAGCUAUUUUGAAAAAACAAAAAACAGUGUAUUGCUAGUAUUGACUGAGAGCAAGAGAGAAACAGCCAAGUGGUCACAACAUUCGGAUUAAAAAUUAUUUGGUUGGGAUGAUGACAAGGCUAAUGUGAGAUUCAACAUUGCCACCUAGCCAAGCUGGGGUUGAAAAUGCUCACCAUCCCCACUAGAAACUAUGGCUUAGAUCUGUCCUGGGGAGCUGGUCUCCUCCAAUAUGGUAGCUCAGCCAGGACCAAUGUGGGUUUGGAUCUACUGCUGGCUGGUUACCUUGCAGAGAACUUCACCCUGAACUUGAGCUGGGCACAGCCAGAGAAGGGAAUCUGAGCCUAUCAGAGGUGAAAGGGACUUGAGUGUUCAUCCCCAUCCAGUAUUCUCAUUUGCUAGAUGAGGAAACAGAGGCCCAAGAUCUCAUAGCAGGGAAGAAACAUCAGAUUUCUCACUGUGAGAUGGCUUAUAGUUAAAUGACUUGUCCUGCAAAUCCAUUUCAAUCAACAGGGUGGGUUUUUUUUUUUAAGUUUUUUUUUUUACAAAAAUAAGUACUAAGAUCUAAACUCACUGUUCCCUAUUUCUAGGACUCCCCUAAGAUUGGCUCUCCCGCUGCUGUCUUGGAAGGCCUCUCUGCUCUCUCCUCCCUCACACCAGCCCCCUUCCCGAGGCCUUGUGCCCAUCCCUAGGAGAGUACCUCACACAGCCAAAGGAGACCCCUAUUUGCCAGUGUAAACACAUGGAGCCAGGCUGAAGUGUUGUAGUUUUCUCAAAGUGCUUUUAUUGGUUCAAUGCAAAGUCAGCCUCUACCUACUUCCUGGACAUUGUGCAGCAAGCUCCCAGGGGCUCUUCCCCCACCCCCACCCUCAUGAUUUGGGCCAAGCGCAUCUCUGUGCAUGUGGGUUUUCCCAGUUCCCAAGCUCUCCCUCUAUUUACCCUGUACCUCCGGACUUGGCAAACAGCCCUGGAGACCAUGUGUGUGCAAAUGCCUCAGGGACUUGGGGACCAGCUUAAACGUAUUGCACAUAAGUACUAACCAGUUUCCUUCUGUCCCAAUGGAAAGAGGUGAGGGGGUCCCUCUUCUUUGGCCAAUGAAACCAUUAGGUUCACUUUAGUUGCUACUGUGCAUCCAAUUUCCUUCCUUGGUCUAUCUAAGGGUGGCUGCUACAUCUCAGGUGCUAAAACAAUUACUGUAGUUUUGACAUCAAGUGAGUCAGAUCAUCACAUCCUCUAGGGUGGCUUCUGCUUCACAGUUGGGAUGACCUCGCUCUCAAGCUACAGGUUCAGCUGUGAUUUCAACUGAAUCCGAGGCCUGGGAUGGGGUUCGGACCUGCUCACUGUCAAUGCCUUCUGUGCCCACUCCACUCCCCACCUGCACAGUAGCCUGGGCAUGCAUAUUGCAUAUGCCUAGAAGAAAUCGCUCUCAGACAUCAAUAAGCAUAGGCUUUAGGUGAUGAAAGACUUCUUAUCGCAUCGUCUCUUCCCACAUCAGGACCUGGGUACUGAGUCUUUGAGCUCAGAACGUUCCUCCCUUCCUCCUCCCAGUCCCUGAAGCCUUGCCUCUCUCCUGAGCACACCCCACAUGCAGCACUGUCAGGUCUCACGGGAGAUGUAGACACCUGACUGGUGCUUUUUGACUCCAAGGAGUUUUCUGGUCGGGGGGCAAGGUGUGAAGGGGUCAGGAGGUGGGGGCCUUAGCUACACUCCAUCCACUCAUAUUCUUUACCUCUUUGAUGCAUUUUCCUUCGGUAACCAGAGCCCCCGAGAGUGAGGAUUCUGAUUCAGCCUUGUACUGACUGAGGAAGGAGAUGGAAGAAUUCCACUUAGCGGUUGGAUCAGAUAUUUUUUGGAAAAACACCAGCACGGCACAGAGACGGACAGUACAACCUGCCCUGCGUGGGCGGCUACCAACACAGUCUACAUUUUCCCAAGGAACCCUGAUGUCUGAAAGACGCCAUGUUGGAGCUGCUCUGUCUGAGCAGAAGCAACGUGCUCACAUCACACCCUGCCUGGCUGCGUUCUCCCUCGUGAAUGCCCCCAAGGCACCUGCAGAACAUCCCAGCUGGACAUGGCUUUGUCAUCACUCAAGAACACAAGUUUUAAAGUUAAAACCCAAUUAGAAUGUUUCCUAGGUGGAAAAGGAGCUUGGAGAUUGUCUUAUCUGGCCCCAACCCUCACAUUCGCUUCCUGCUCCCCCUUUCCCAUGCCACCAAAACAACUUUACAGAUGAGGAAAGGGAAAGACAACUGAAGGGAGUAACAUGGGUUGGUGACUGGUCCAAAAAGGAUGACUGCUCCCAGAUCACCUGUCCCUGCCACUCCAGGUGUGUCACUGAAGCUCUGAUGGCAUGUCCACAGGUGUUGGCAAACCACAGGACCCCUUGGAUCAAAACACGCACCAAAACUUGAACUUACCUAAUGCUGGGUCAGCAGCUGCUGACUUAACUCCCACACUGAGCCUGUAGGCUUCUAGCCUGUUGCCCAAUGAAGCUGAACUCACCUCUAGGGAGAAGCCCCCGAAACUUUACAUCUUUACCCCAGCUACUGCAAGAGCAUGGGACCAGGAAUCAGAAGGCCUAGUCUGGGCCACUAUUCUGCCCUCUCACUGGCCAUGGGACCUUGGGCAAGUCAUUUUGCCUCUCGGGGCACUGCCUGCCUCACCUGGAAAAACAGGAAAAAUGCAGCUUGGCCGCCUUCCUUACAAGGUCUGCAAAGAUCUUGGCCUCUUGGAAGGACACGUGGCCAGGCAGAAACUCUGAGAGCUGGGCACCAGAUGAGAGCUCCGACUGCAAUUGGACCCAAACUCGCUCGAUGAGAGAUAGGGCAGGGCUUGGCAGAAAA